GGCAGGUUGCCCGAGCGGCCAAAGGGAGCGGUCUGUAAAACCGUCGGCGAAAGCCUACGCAGGUUCGAAUCCUGCACCUGCCACCA
rnacentral:tRNA from 1 species